UACGAAGGGGGCUAGCGUUGCUCGGAAUUACUGGGCGUAAAGGGCGCGUAGGCGGCACUGUUAGUCAGGCGUGAAAGUCCUGGGCUCAACCUGGGAACUGCGCUUGAUACGGCAGAGCUAGAGGAUGGAAGAGGCUCGCGGAAUUCCCAGUGUAGAGGUGAAAUUCGUAGAUAUUGGGAAGAACACCGGUGGCGAAGGCGGCUCUCUAGUACGGUACUGACGCUGAGACGCGAAAGCGUGGGGAGCGAACAGG
rnacentral:rRNA from 1 species